GUUCAUUCCUGAACAUAUGCUAGAAUUUGGACAAUUCAGAGUAGAUUAGUUUGGCUCCUGCGCAACGAUGACAGGCGGAUAAACGAUUAAGCGAAGCGUCUG
rnacentral:snRNA from 1 species